rnacentral:rRNA from 1 species
UACAGAGGGUGCAAGCGUUAAUCGGAAUUACUGGGCGUAAAGGGUGCGUAGGUGGUUAAAUAAGUUGGGUGUGAAAUUCCUGGGCUUAACCUGGGGACUGCGCUUGAUACUGUUUAGCUAGAGUAUUGUAGAGGAAGGUGGAAUUUCCAGUGUAGCGGUGAAAUGCGUAGAUAUUGGAAGGAGCAUCAGUGGCGAAGGCGACCUUCUGGACAAAUACUGACACUGAGGCACGAAAGCAUGGGGAGCAAACAGG